UACGUAGGGGGGCAAGCGUUGUCCGGAAUCAUUGGGCGUAAAGCGCGUGUAGGCGGUCCGGUAAGUCGGCUGUGAAAGUCCAGGGCUCAACCCUGGGAUGCCGGUCGAUACUGCCGGACUAGAGUUCGGAAGAGGCGAGUGGAAUUCCCCGGUGUAGCGGUGAAAUGCGCAGAUAUCGGGAGGAACACCUAUGGCGAAGGCAGCUCGCUGGGACGGUACUGACGCUGAGACGCGAAAGCGUGGGGAGCGAACAGG
rnacentral:rRNA from 1 species